CACGUAGGGCGCAAGCGUUGUCCGGAAUUAUUGGGCGUAAAGAGCUCGUAGGCGGUCUGUUGCGUCCGCUGUGAAAACCCGGGGCUUAACCCUGGGCUGGCAGUGGAUACGGGCAGGCUAGAGUCAGGUAGGGGAGAACGGAAUUCCUGGUGUAGCGGUGAAAUGCGCAGAUAUCAGGAGGAACACCGGUGGCGAAGGCGGUUCUUUGGGCCUGUACUGACGCUGAGGAACGAAAGCGUGGGGAGCGAACAGG
rnacentral:rRNA from 1 species